rnacentral:rRNA from 1 species
UUGAACGCUGGCGGCAGGCCUAACACAUGCAAGUCGAACGGUAACAGGAAGCAGCUUGCUGUUUCGCUGACGAGUGGCGGACGGGUGAGUAAUGUCUGGGAAACUGCCUGAUGGAGGGGGAUAACUACUGGAAACGGUAGCUAAUACCGCAUAACGUCGCAAGACCAAAGAGGGGGACCUUCGGGCCUCUUGCCAUCGGAUGUGCCCAGAUGGGAUUAGCUAGUAGGUGGGGUAACGGCUCACCUAGGCGACGAUCCCUAGCUGGUCUGAGAGGAUGACCAGCCACACUGGAACUGAGACACGGUCCAGACUCCUACGGGAGGCAGCAGUGGGGAAUAUUGCACAAUGGGCGCAAGCCUGAUGCAGCCAUGCCGCGUGUAUGAAGAAGGCCUUCGGGUUGUAAAGUACUUUCAGCGGGGAGGAAGGGAGUAAAGUUAAUACCUUUGCUCAUUGACGUUACCCGCAGAAGAAGCACCGGCUAACUCCGUGCCAGCAGCCGCGGUAAUACGGAGGGUGCAAGCGUUAAUCGGAAUUACUGGGCGUAAAGCGCACGCAGGCGGUUUGUUAAGUCAGAUGUGAAAUCCCCGGGCUCAACCUGGGAACUGCAUCUGAUACUGGCAAGCUUGAGUCUCGUAGAGGGGGGUAGAAUUCCAGGUGUAGCGGUGAAAUGCGUAGAGAUCUGGAGGAAUACCGGUGGCGAAGGCGGCCCCCUGGACGAAGACUGACGCUCAGGUGCGAAAGCGUGGGGAGCAAACAGGAUUAGAUACCCUGGUAGUCCACGCCGUAAACGAUGUCGACUUGGAGGUUGUGCCCUUGAGGCGUGGCUUCCGGAGCUAACGCGUUAAGUCGACCGCCUGGGGAGUACGGCCGCAAGGUUAAAACUCAAAUGAAUUGACGGGGGCCCGCACAAGCGGUGGAGCAUGUGGUUUAAUUCGAUGCAACGCGAAGAACCUUACCUGGUCUUGACAUCCACGGAAGUUUUCAGAGAUGAGAAUGUGCCUUCGGGAACCGUGAGACAGGUGCUGCAUGGCUGUCGUCAGCUCGUGUUGUGAAAUGUUGGGUUAAGUCCCGCAACGAGCGCAACCCUUAUCCUUUGUUGCCAGCGGUCCGGCCGGGAACUCAAAUGAGACUGCCAGUGAUAAACUGGAGGAAGGUGAGGAUGACGUCAAGUCAUCAUGGCCCUUACGACCAGGGCUACACACGUGCUACAAUGGCGCAUACAAAGAGAAGCGACCUCGCGAGAGCAAGCGGACCUCAUAAAGUGCGUCGUAGUCCGGAUUGGAGUCUGCAACUCGACUCCAUGAAGUCGGAAUCGCUAGUAAUCGUGGAUCAGAAUGCCACGGUGAGUACGUUCCCGGGCCUUGUACACACCGCCCGUCACACCAUGGGAGUGGGUUGCAAAAGAAGUAGGUAGCUUAACCUUCGGGAGGGCGCUUACCACUUUGUGAUUCAUGACUGGGGUG